rnacentral:tmRNA from 4 species
GGGGAUGACAGGCUUCGACGGAGGAGGCUGGUCCCGGAAUGCGAGCCGAGAGGCGCCGAUCUCGUUAACUCAGCGCAACCCCUCAAGUGCCAACCGCACUUCCUAUGCUGCCAUGCCCCUCGCUGCAUAAGCGAUCGGUCUGACAGUACGGUCUUCAACGUAAGACCGCGUCCACCGGCCCCGAACUCCGCCAGGGACCGGCCCGGGCGAGACAAACGCGGAGCGCCGCACGCGACGCCGUUAACCGUGCGAAAGACUUAACGGCUGGCGGCAGGCGGUUCCCGCCGGACGAGAUGCCUGCCGCGACCGCCUUCGACCGGCUACGCUCGUAGAUUUCCGAGGGUCGAAUCUUUCGGACGCGGGUUCGAUUCCCGCCAUCUCCACUA